AGAGUUUGAUCCUGGCUCAGAUUGAACGCUGGCGGCAUGCCUUACACAUGCAAGUCGAACGGCAGCACGGGAGCAAUCCUGGUGGCGAGUGGCGAACGGGUGAGUAAUAUAUCGGAACGUGCCCAGUCGUGGGGGAUAACGCAGCGAAAGCUGUGCUAAUACCGCAUACGAUCUAAGGAUGAAAGCGGGGGACUCGCAAGGGCCUCGCGCGAUUGGAGCGGCUGAUAUCAGAUUAGGUUGUUGGUGAGGUAAAAGCUCACCAAGCCGACGAUCUGUAGCUGGUUUGAGAGAACGACCAGCCACACUGGGACUGAGACACGGCCCAGACUCCUACGGGAGGCAGCAGUGGGGAAUUUUGGACAAUGGGCGAAAGCCUGAUCCAGCAAUGCCGCGUGCAGGAAGAAGGCCUUCGGGUUGUAAACAUGGUUUUGUACGGAACGAAAAGGUCUGC
rnacentral:rRNA from 1 species